UGGUGGUUUGGAUUGAGGCAAGCCUCAAGGUCCAGAAGCCUGGAGUUUCCACAAGCCAGGGGACCUGUGAAAGCUAUGGGAACUCAGAUAUGACGCAGGCCAUCCCUUCUGAUGUCACCAUCAUGAAAGCUUUGUAGUUUUAAACUCACUGUGCAUUUUGGUGAUCGAGGCAACCACACUCCCAGAAGUGGUCUUCAGCUUCUAUGUUGAAAGCAAGGACUGAAACACGCGAUUUCCAUGAAUUUAAUGGGGCCUGUGCCCGGCUCUUGGUACCGUGCCAGCGCAGGCACCGAGACCUUAGUCCCCUCCUUGACCACGUUUGUUUCCUGGCCAUCCAUUGAAGAGGCUUUCUUAGCCACAAGCUUCUCCUGAGAUGGGGCAUUUGGAACGCUGGUGAUCAUUGUUUGGAGUACUGUGCACUUCCACUUUACUCACCACUGAAGCCUCAGCUUAUUUCCCUACGAUGGCUGAUAAACACCCUUGGAGAAGCACAAGAGCAUGUCUGUCAUUCACGUAGCCCAUCCUCUGCAUUGGGACAUUUAAAUACUUUUCAUUUUAGUCUGUUAUAAAUCAUUUUAAUUUUGCUAUUGCA